CUAGAUAAACGGGCCUCGAUCCCGUGAAAAAUUAAUUAACAGCUAAACACCCAAACCAGCGGGCUUCUAUCUACUUCUCCCGUUUUUAAACGACGGGAGA
rnacentral:tRNA from 1 species